GAAAGUGUUUUAAAAAAAGAAAAGAAAAAAAUUUAAAUUAGAAUGUUUGCUAAACUCAGACGAAAUGAGUUUUGAGGUUGAAACUUCAGAGUAGUCUCAGAAUCGGAGACGACGGCCCCUCACCCUUCUGAUUUAGGAAGGCGACGCAGAUUGGAUCUGGGAACCUGAAAUUGAAGCGAAAUCAAGCAGGUUUGUGCUGUACGGCGUCUCCGAUCAGGCUUGGACGUGGUUCGAUUGUCUCAAUCGACGCAUUCCAUGGACCGGGCCAACCAUUCGCGUCUUCCAGCCUAGAGAUAACUCGCUACUUUGCGAUUCUAGGAUUGUUGACGAGAUUGAACCACAUGCCUAUGGGAUGAUUUUGCUCCUCUUAGGAACAUUUUGAAUGCAGUCAGAUUUUUUGUUUUGAUCUUUCA